rnacentral:rRNA from 1 species
UACGUAGGCAGCGAGCGUUGUUCGGAGUUACUGGGCGUAAAGAGUGCGUAGGCGGUUUUCUAAGUUUGGUGUGAAAUCUCCCGGCUUAACUGGGAGGGUGCGCCGAAGACUGGAAGGCUUGAGUAUGGGAGAGGUAAGCGGAAUUCCUGGUGUAGCGGUGAAAUGCGCAGAUAUCAGGAGGAACACCGGUGGCGAAGGCGGGUCUCUGGGCCGAUACUGACGCUGAGGAGCGAAAGCGUGGGGAGCAAACAGG